rnacentral:rRNA from 1 species
UCCCGUUGAUCCUGCGGGAGGUCGCUGCUAUCAGAGUUCGACUUAGCUAAGCUAGUCAUGGGGUCGCAAGACACCGGCAAACAGUUCCGUAACACGUCGAUAAUCUGCCCUUAGGUCAAGGAUAAUCUCGGGAAACUGAGGAUAAUACUUGAUAUGAGAUAAAAUCUGGAAUGAUUUAUCUUUGAAAGACUACGCCUAAGGAUGAGUCGGCGGUGGAUUAGGUUGUAGGUGAGGUAAUGGCUCACCUAGCCCGAGAUCCAUACGGGCCGUGAGAGCGGUAGCCCGGAGAAGGACACUGAGACACUGGUCCUAGCCCUACGGGGUGCAGCAGGCGCGAAACCUUUACAAUGCACGAAAGUGUGAUAAGGGAAUCCUGAGUGCUCAAGUUUUACUUGGGCUUUUGCCAAGGGUAAAUACCUUGGAGAAUAAGUGGUGGGCAAGACUGGUGCCAGCAGCCGCGGUAACACCAGCGCCACAAGUGGGGACCUCGUUUAUUGGGCCUAAAGCGUUCGUAGCUGGAUUUGUAAAUCUUUUGUGAAAUCGUCAAGCUCAACUUGACGGCAUGCAGGAGACACUGCAUUUCUUGAGAUCGGGAGGGGUUAGGAGUAUUCCAGGGGAACCGGUAAAAUGGGAUAAUCCUUGGAAGACUACCUGUGGCGAAGGCGCCUAACCAGAACGAGUCUGACAGUGAGGGACGAAGGCUAGGGGAGCGAACCGGAUUAGAUACCCGAGUAGUCCUAGCAGUAAACGCUGCGAGCCAGGUGUUGCACAUUCUACAUGAAUGUGCAGUGUCGUAAUGAAGAUGUUAAGCUCGCCGCCUGGGAAGUAUGGUCGCAAGACUGAAACUUAAAGGAAUUGGCGGGGGAGCACCACAAGGGGUGCGGCGUGCGGUUUAAUCUAACUCAACGCAGAGAAUCUCACCAGGGGCGACGGCAGGAUGAAGGUCAGUCUGAAGGGCUUACCCGACGAGCCGAGAGGUGGUGCAUGGUCGCCGUCAGCUCGUGCCGUAAGGUGUCCUGUUAAGUCAGGUAACGAGCGAGACCUAUACCUACAAUUGCUAGCGACUUUUCUGAUCGGGCACAUUGUAGGGACUGCUUUGGAAACAAAGAGGAAGGUGCAGGCAACGGUAGGUCUGUAUGCCCCGAAUCCCUUGGGCUACACGCGCGCAACAAUGGUAUGGACAAUGGGAUGCAACUCUGAAAAGAGAAGCUAAACCUCUAAACCAUAUCUUAGUCCAGAUUGUGGUUUGUAACUCAGCCACGUGACGAUGGAAUCCCUAGUAAUCAGGUGUUACUAUGACCUGGUGAAUAUGUCCCUGCUCCUUGCACUCACCGCCCGU